rnacentral:rRNA from 1 species
UACGUAGGGACCAAGCGUUGUUCGGAUUUACUGGGCGUAAAGGGCGCGUAGGCGGCAAUUCAAGUCAUCUGUGAAAUCUCCGGGCUUAACUCGGAACGGUCAGAUGAUACUGCUUUGCUAGAGUGCGGAAGAGGCAAUCGGAAUUCUUGGUGUAGCGGUGAAAUGCGUAGAUAUCAAGAGGAACACCUGAGGUGAAGACGGGUUGCUGGGCCGACACUGACGCUGAAGCGCGAAAGCCAGGGGAGCAAACGGG